CCAUCCCAACCAUGAUUCACGUGGAGAGGCGGAGACUUCAUAUCGGAUUCAGCAGGCAGGCAGGAGGACCGUCCUGUUCUCACCGCUCACUAGCAGCUACCGCACAAAAAAGCAACUAACUAACCUCCGAAGCAGAGCAAAGUUUCUUCUUUGUGUCCGCCUCGUUUACAAUGUGAAAAAUGGCCGGAGCAAGCUCUGAUUGGGUGGAGAUCCUGGAGCCACGCUCCCGGGAGCGCAUGUAUGUGAACUUGACCACCGGUGAAUGCGGCUGGGAUCCCCCUCCUGGUGUUCCUGUCCGCCAGGCAGACGGCAAUCAGUGGUGGGAGCUGUUUGACCCACACAGUGGCCGCUUCUACUACUACAACUCAACAGGGCGCCGCACGGUCUGGCAUCGACCGCAGGGAGCCGACAUAGUGCCACUCUCCCAGCUGCAGGCCAUGAAGCGGUGCAGCGAUGCCAGGCAGGCUGGAGGGGUCUCUGAAGACCAUCACCACCGCCCUACCACCGGCAGCAUCGGCAGCGUGAGAAGCCAGGGGCGCUGCACCCCUCUGGCGGAGCGGGACGGUGACAGCCCGCUCCCCACUGCCCUGGAGCCCUCUGAGCCAAGAGCUCACUCCGAGCUGGAUCCAGCUAUGGACAGCCGAACGAAGGGAGAUGGAAGCAGCACUGAACAUGACACAGAUGAUGGCAAAGACCCGCAGAGGGAUAAUUCGCAGAGAUGGCAGCCUACUCCCGGUUCUAAAGCGGCCAUGUUGGUGAAGGUGAACAGCAUGCCGCGCAGCCAGCCCGUCCCACCACUGCAGCACAACACACACAUCAAAACCAGCACUGCCUCCCUGCACCCUUCUUGCAGCAAAUCCCACGGAGGACACCUGAACUCCAGCCAGGGAUAUAAAACAGCCCCUGCUGGCAAAAUGGCCAGUGAUGCACGUCCGGCUCAUCACAUAAGGAAAACCAGUAACGGUAGCUUCUGUUUGGUGACAUCAGACAGCGGCCACCCCAGUCCACUCCUCCAUAGGUCACAGACUUGCACCCCUCGCCCUGUCUCUCCUCAGUAUGGUUGCACCGCCCCGAUCUACGAUGAACCAGUUUUAGACUGUCCCAUAUAUGAUGAACCCCCUACAGAUAUGGAAGUAGAGGGGGCCCACCUGUAUAAUGGACAACCUUUGUCUCGUUUGACCCCUACUCAAAGUCUUCAAAAGCCUAGACUCCUCCCACACCCAGCCUCCUCUCAUCUGGGGUCUAGACACCGGAGAGACCCUUCUUCCUCUGACUACAGCCCAGCUGGUCUGGAGUGCAUCAAGCACAUGGUCAACGUGGACCCCAAACAGGGGCUUCCAAACAGCUCCCCCCUGCCCACACGAGCUGCUUCCCCUACCUCCAGACAGGACCGUGUUUUGACUCUGCCCCAGUCACAGCCACACCCGUCACAGCAGUCUCGAGGUCAGUCGAGGGACAGAGAGCCAGGAACCCCGGGACCGAGUUCGCUGGACAAAAAGCAUAAUUGGCGGAUCCUAGAGGCCACUGUGCAGCGUGCCAUGGAUGCACGACACAGCAGGCAGAGCAGCCAGGCCUCGCAGGACUUCCCGUCCACAACUCCCCAGGCCACAGCCAACUACCAGGACUCUGGGUACUCCACAGGGCCCUCUCCAAGCCUGAGAAGAAAAAGCAGGAGGCGGGUGGGAGCCGGUGGAGUGGCAGGGGGCAGGCCGGGGUCGGUAGGAAGCAGCGGAGAGCUUAGCGCCCUAAAUGAGAGACUUAUGGCAGAAAUGAGGGAGGUGGUGAGUCGCUCCAAUACCAUGAGAGAGGUGAGAGCUGGGCUGGACCCAGAAAUGGGGGAGAGGGGGGUUGUACCCCGCACACGCUCCCCCGCAGACUCGCUCAGGUGGUUUGGAGGAGGAGGGAGCUCUACAGGCAGGUGUCCAUCACAAGAGGACAUCAGUGGUGCUCCGCGGGCCUUAAAGGGGAUGGCUAACUAUGGCCCCUCUGCUCUGACCCCAGUGGAUGUUCCAGGGAGGCAAAAGAGGACCUAUGAGAAGGUGGAUACCUUGGAGAUGAGCAUUAACAGCCAGGCCAGCCUUUCAUCACCGGAGACACCAGGACCACCAUCACAGGCGGGAACCCUAGAGCUGCAGGCUCAGUUGGAGAGCAGGAAGAAAGGCAUGGUGGAUGGACGGACGGCUUCACUAGGUCCGCAUCGCUCUGCCAGCCACGACAACCGAGAAGGAGCGGAUGGGGCAGGAGGGCGUGGAGGAGGAUCCUCCUACCAGCUCUCUUAUGCUACCCUACGGCAGCCUCCACCACCUGACAUGGGCAUGGAGGACUGGGCCAGCAAGCAUCUCAACAUGCACACGCAAGGUCUGUUCCGCCGCCGCGUCUCCAUUGCCAACAUGUUAUCCUGGAACCGCGGGUCCAUCAAGAAGCCAAUGCUGGUCACCAGCGACCGCGCCAUCAGGAAGGAGGCCUGCGAGAUGUUCAAGUUGGUUCAGGCCUACAUGGGAGACAGGCCUUCGCGGCUCGACCGCCGCCACUGCGCGCUGCUCAUCGUCACAAAGUGCUGGGACAUGCCGGGGCUGCGGGAUGAGCUCUACGUGCAGCUGGUGAGACAGACCACAGGCAACGCCAGCCCCCGGAGCCUGGCGGCGGGCUGGGAGCUCAUGGCUGUCAGCUUGGCCUUCUUUGCCCCCUCGCCCAAGUUUCGCUGCUACCUGGAGGGCUACAUCCAGAGACACACGGAGCCCAACAGCGACAAGAAAUGUGAGUCUCAGACUGAGGCACAGGUGACACAGUUUAUUUUGGAACAGCAGGAACUAAAACUGAAGAAAAAUUCAAAGUCCAGAAAAAAGAGGAAACAGAACACGGAGGAAGAAGAAGGCCUUCCUAUCAGCACCUAUGCUAAGUUCUGCCAUCGGAAGCUGCUCAAGGUGGCCAUCACAGGAGGCAAAAAGGGUCUUCGUAAGCCCACCUUGGAGGAGAUCGACCACAGCAGACGGGCUAUCAUCACCCCGUCUCUUUUUGGCAGCUCUCUAGAGGAAGUGAUGGAGAGGCAGAGCGAGCUCUUCCCAGACAGGAAGCUACCCUGGGUGCAGGUUCAGCUGUCCCAGUAUGUCUUGGCUCUGGGUGGGGCUCAGACAGAGGGCAUCUUCAGAGUGCCCGGAGAUAUUGAUGAAGUGAAUGCAUUAAAGCUCCAAGUGGACCAGUGGAGGAUUCCAGAGAAUCUCACUGACCCGAAUGUUCCUGCCUCUCUGAUGAAGCUGUGGUACCGUGAGCUGGAGGAGCCCCUGAUCCCAAUGGACUUCUACAAGCAGUGCAUCAGUAACUGUGAUGACCCGGUGGCAGCCAUAGCUGUGGUGCAGUCCCUCCCAGAGCUGAACCGUCUGGUUCUGUGCUACUUCAUCCACUUCCUUCAGGUAUUUGCCCAGCCGUCCAACGUCGCCAUAACCAAGAUGGAUGUGAACAACCUGGCCAUGGUGAUGGCUCCCAACUGCCUCCGAUGCCAUUCGGACGACCCGCGGAUCAUCUUCGAGAACACACGUAAAGAGAUGUCCUUCCUGCGAAUGCUCAUCGUUCACCUGGACACCGGUUUCAUCGAGGGGGUGGUGUAGACACUGAAUCUCUCCGAGUGCACAUUUCAGCCAUACUUUUCCAAACAAACACUGUCUCUGUUGAGGUCACACUGGAAACUGUUGAGGUGAUGUACAGAUCUUAAAGUGUGUGUGUGUGUGUGUGUGUGUGAAUGAUUGGACUUUAUCUUUUCCCUUCCAGAGAGACAUUUCAGUUCACUGUUUAAAACUAGAAAAACUUUUUUGUUUUUUAACAGCAUGUGAAAACAGGCUCAUGCUUUAUUUCUUAUUCUCAAGAUAUUACUACUGUUACAGCUUGGUUGUGAAAGACGACAUGAAUCAAGAUUUAUUCAGAAUAAUUCAUUUGUAAAAAGAAAAGAUGUUAAUUUAAGCAUUUACUCUCUUUUCCUUAACUUUCUGCUUUUAUUGUUUGAUUUAUCAGUGUGAACAAAAAAUGUCAAUUUAAAAAAGCCUUGUAAUCUAAUCACAUUUUCCUCCGCUUGACUUUUAGUUGUAUUGCUGAUUUUUGGGAUUUAUUUCUUAGAGAACUGCAGAGCAUACAGCACCUUUGAUUUGAAGCACAGCCUGGGAGGAUGUGCUGGAAGCUGUUGUGGAUUUGGAGGAAAAUGUAGUGAAAAAACCCAAUUAGUGAUUUAUUUUUCUUCCAAAUGGAACCCAUUACUAACGCCAUGUCAUGCUGUUAAAGUUCACUCAUCCGGUAAUUUGCAUUUUAUUUGUUCUGUUUGUUUAGUUGGAUUCAUUCUCUUGUUUGUGAUCCUUUCUUUGGCUCAGGUCUUAUGGGGAAUAAAACGGGUGUUAGACAUUCAUCACCAACUUAAAACUCUGUGUGACACCCGUAGAGAGAAUGGAGCAUUAGUGAACCUUCAAACGGUGUGAAAACAAUGUAAACAGCUGUUUGUAAAUAUAUAUCCUGAGUGGAAAUGUGUACUAACCUUCCUGAAGGUUAGUUUUUGAGAGUGGGAGAGGUUUUGGGUUCUGUUUUAAUGUAAAGAGCAUUAAAAAGAUGUAUAAGUGAGAGGCUGUAAUGAAGAGAUGAUAUUUCUGCUGUAACUGCUUGCUGUUUGAACAAAAAAAUAAUUCAAACCACUUUCAGCAUAUGUGUGUUUGCAGACUGUCCUCAUCUGUAAUGACUAUGAAUAAAUGUUCAUUUGUUG